UACGGAAGGCAGCAGUGGGGAAUAUUGCACAAUGGGCGCAAGCCUGAUGCAGCCAUGCCGCGUGUAUGAAAAAGGCCUUCGGGUUGUAAAGUACUUUCAGUCGUGAGGAAGGUGUUAAGGUUAAUAACCUUAGCAAUUGACGUUAGCGACAGAAGAAGCACCGGCUAACUCCGUGCCAGCAGCCGCGGUAAUACGGAGGGUGCGAGCGUUAAUCGGAAUUACUGGGCGUAAAGGGCACGCAGGCGGUUAAUUAAGUUGGAUGUGAAAUCCCCGGGCUUAACCUGGGAAUGGCAUUCAAGACUGGUUAGCUAGAGUCUUGUAGAGGGGGUAGAAUUCCAUGUGUAGCGGUGAAAUGCGUAGAGAUGUGGAGGAAUACCGGUGGCGAAGGCGGCCCCUGGACAAAGCUGACGCUCAUGCGCGAAAGCGUGGGGAGCAAACGAGGGAUUAGAUACC
rnacentral:rRNA from 1 species